UACGUAGGGUGCGAGCGUUAAUCGGAAUUACUGGGCGUAAAGCGUGCGCAGGCGGUUCGUUAUGUCCGAUGUGAAAGCCCCGAGCUCAACUUGGGAAUGGCAUUGGAAACUGGCGGGCUGGAGUGUGGCAGAGGGGGGUGGAAUUCCACGUGUAGGAGUGAAAUGCGUAGAGAUGUGGAGGAACACCGAUGGCGAAGGCAGCCCCCUGGGCCAACACUGACGCUCAGGCACGAAAGCGUGGGGAUCAAACAGG
rnacentral:rRNA from 1 species